UCACUAUUUGCCGAUGACCUCAAGAUA
rnacentral:sRNA from 1 species